CCUCGAUCCUAACACUGCACAAGGAGUGGACUCCAGGAUUCCAGCGUCACACACUCCAGACCCAGCCACCUCUGAAAAAGCCCCACCUGUGUCUGUGAGAGACUCUUCUGGGACAUCUAGGCACAAGCCAUAUAAGGAGGACACGUCUGAAGCCAAUUUAUGAUUUCUGGACCCCCAUAAGAGCACUUCUGCACCAUGGGCUCUGACUGAGGCAAUGUGGUGUGAAACCCACUCUUGGGUGGGCACCUCACCUAAUCUGCGACAAUCACGGUGUUUCUCUGGAGAUUCUCACACUGGAUCUGAGGAGAGACAGUCCCACCAUGAAGAUGGAAGCUCAAAGACUGAAACCAGCUGCCACUGGUGACCACAUUUCUGUAAUACAGAGGAAACUAGCUUGAAGCCAGAGGCCAGAGGCCAAGGGAGUCCCGAGGUACUUCAUGCUCGCCAUCCUCUCAGGGAGCAGAGCAGAAGGCCGAAGCACAGAGGAUGAACCUAGGAGGCUAAAGAAGAUCCCCGCAUGACUUCUACACAGGUACGUCAGUGUGUGACGAGCUACCCAGCUGUGUGACUGAGCCAUGCACACUUCCUACCCCACCAAUCUCAAGGUCCACAGGGAGGCAGCCAAGUGUGUCCUCAUAUGUCAGAUUUUCAAUGAACCUUUGCUGAUUGAGCGACUACUUGCACA